GCUGCCUCAACGUUAAGUCAACGGAUAUGCGGACCGGAAGUAGUCGUAACGGGCGGGAUGUUGAAAAUUGAAGCAUUUCAAAUAAUAAAAAAAAGACGUUUCCAAGUUAAGUUACGUGUAUUUAAGAAAAGACUCGUCUUCCAGAAAGGCAGAGUGAGCUGAAGGACUAAUUAGCUAAAUGAGGUCGAUGACUCGAGCAAUCUACGCUGACACUAAUAGUAGCUAGCCAGUUGGCGUUGCUAGCUCGCUAACACUAGAAGUUGUUUACGGUCUGUUGUCUGUCAGGAUGGCGGACAGGAGUCUUGUGCAGGAGUUGAAACGCUGGGCGACAGAGGAGUUCAAUUUGCCCGCCGACAGCCUGCCAAAUGACAGCUAUUUUAAAACGCUCUGUGUUGGGAAAGGAAAGUCAAUAUGGAAAUAUAUCGUCCAACACGUGUAUCACCAGAGAAACGUGAGGAUCAUGCGAGGCAAUCUCCAGUGGUAUCCUUUCUGUCCCCUAUUAAGGAUUUUUACAUUACAGUGUGUGUAUGUAUGUAUGUAUGUAUGUAUGUGUGUGUGUGUGUGUGUGUGUGUGUGU